UGUUCUUGUAUUGUGGCCGUUACUUGCUGCAAUUGCUGCUGAGGUAUUGUGAUUGUAGUUGAGCCGCCCAAAGUGUUUAAACCCAAUGGUGGUCCCGUUUGUACCUGUAAGACCUGUUGUGGCAAAUAAAUGAUUUGUUUCUUCAUGUGCUUGUCUUAAACAUAAAAUAUCUACCCAUUUACUAUCUCUUUGCCUAAUAUACUUACUACAUUUUGGUUUUCCUUUUUAAUAUUCUCCGCUGAAUAUUUUAAAAAAUGAUGUAAUGAUAGUGGCAAUGUAUUAGCCGGAAGAUGUGAUAGAUAAUCUGCAACCGUAGUACCAGGGGUUAAUGAUUGCCAUGAGGUAUUUUGUAACACUAUUGAGAGGAAGUAAGAAAAUUUUGAGAAUUUAAUACAACAGCUCUUUAAGUCUUAAAGUAAAAGUGAAAUAUGCAAUUGAAAUGGCCUCCACCUGGUUUUAACUAAACUAUUUAUAACUAAAUUGGACUUUACAUAUGUGUAAAACUAACAUUCUGGAAUAUAAAGCUGCUGGAGCAAUAAAAAAUCAACAUCUUUUCGUUAAGGUCACUUCAAUCAAGUCAAGUUUGAGUUGAAACUAUCAUCAAAUUUUACAAGAUCCUAAAAAACAAGAAGUCUUAAGGAUACAACACUGAAACUUUUCCAAACCUUUACGCAACAAUCACCUACUAAAUGAUUGCUAUACCAUCCAAUAAAUCUAUUAUUUUAUAAAAAUAAUUGUAAAAUAUUAAAAACUAAUAAAAUUAUACU